CUGCUGCCUUCCGUAGGAGUCUGGUCCGUGUCUCAGUACCAGUGUGGGGGACCUUCCUCUCAGAACCCCUACGCAUCGUCGUCUUGGUGGUCCGUUACACCGCCAACUAACUAAUGCGACGCAUGCCCAUCCGCCACCGGAAUUAACCUUUGGCACCAACAGGAUGUCCCGUCGAUGCAUUAUGCCGUAUUAGACGGAAUUUCUCCCGAUUAUCCGGCUGUGGCAGGCAGGUUGCAUACGUGUUACUCACCCGUGCG
rnacentral:rRNA from 1 species